CCCACACAAUAGCGAAUCCAUAAUUCUCUCUCUUCAUUGAGUUUUCUCUCUCCUCUUGCAAAUCCUCUCUACUCUUGGGCUUUAUCUUCUUCAACAUUCUCGUUGUUCUUGCAAAUAUCUCCAACUUUUUUUUGCAACUCUCUUCCAAUUAAUUUGUCAGGUGAACCCUCUGCUUAACACUACAAACUGAAUACAGAUGCAGCUGUAACCAAAGAAGGAAGUGUCAAGCAUUCUUUUAGGCUCGUAUUGAUGUCAAGAGACUCAAGACCACUGGACCAGUGUCGAUUCUACCCUGAGUAUGUUCAUUGAGAACCUAACUUUGACCUGGAGGUCCCUACUGUUGGGCAUACUUUAAACCUGGAUUAGAAUAGGAUCUAUGCAAGUGAGGAUGUAAAGAAUGCAGUUUUUGACUUUCAGGAUUCAAAGGCGCCUAAGGCCUGCUGGCUAUUCCAGUAAGUUUUUCAAAUCUUCUUGGGACACUGUUGGUAAAUACAUUUAGAACAUUUCUAUUUACUUUUGAGAUUUUUUAAUUUACUUAUGAGUUAGUAUUAUUUACAUUUGAUUUUUUAGUAUACAUAUGCUUAAUUUUGAGAUUUACUUUUGAGUUCUUUCGAUUUAGUUUUAAGUUCUUUUUAUUUACUUUAUGAAUAAUUUUGAUGAACAAUGUAACAAAUGAGUUGAUUGGCUUCAGGGAAUGGAUGUGAUGCAUUGAAUCUUAUCACAAAACCUACUAGCUCAAUUGGUAUAUCAUUGUGCAAAAAGAUGUGGGUUCGAAUCCCACGUAGGUUCAUUUACUUUUGAGUUUCCUUUAUUUACUUUCGAGUCUAUAUUGUUACUUUUUAGUCUCCUUUAUUUACUUUUGAGUCUAUAUUGUUUACUUUUGCUGAACUGGACAAAAACUAACUCAACGAGCAUUGGAGCGCUUGCAACAGGUCUGCAGACCCUCAAAAUUUUCUGCAACACUAAACAUACCAACAGAAAAAAUACUGAUUUCAUUUCUCAAACAAACAAAAAAGAAACUAACAAUCUGCGAAUGUUUACUUUUAUAUUUUCUUAUUUACUUCUAAGUACUUUUAAUUUACUUUUGAGUAAUUUUAAUUUACUUUUGAGUUUCUUAUCCAUUUUUGAGUUUUUUUUACGCAUAUGAAUCACCAACUUAUGUAGGAGUUGAACCUACAUCCAUGUGCAAUGGCACAUUGCUCUCCUAUUUGAGCUAAUAGGUUUCGGCUUAAUAUUUAAGAAAAAAAAUUAAAACCAAAGUUCCGUUAUCAUUUUUUUUACUUUUACAUAGAUUAAAUUUACUUUUAGAGAGAUUUAGUUUACUCUUGCACAAAUUAGUCUCUUUAUCUGUUUGGCCUGGUUUGGUCAAAACACCAUCUUAAUUAUAUUCAAAGAUGCCAAAUGUAAAAGUUAUGGAAAAGGCUCAUAAGUAUUCAUAUCCAGACUUACAAAAGAAUUUACUUCUAAGCAUAAUUAUCGAAAGUAGAUAAUUAACUCUGAAAAGUAAAAUGGAACUAAUUUUAAAGUAAAUGGAACUGAUUUAAGUAAUUCACAUAAACAAAAUCUCAAGUUGCUUAAAAGUAGAUAAAUGACUAAAAAAAAUAAAUGGAACUAAUUUAAAAGUAAAGAUUACAAACAAAAUCUCAUCUUUAUCGCUUUCCUUUGUAGAGGCCUUGCUAGCUAGUUGCCAUGACUGAUUUCAAAUUAACUAUGAAAUUCCAUCGAAUUAACAUGAAUUUUUAUUACCUACAUUGAGUAGUGAGUACUCUCUUUGCAGAUUCAACAAGAAAUUGUUGGUAUUAAACCAGGGCUAGGAAGCCGCUGGACAGGGCGAGACACUCAACAUGUGGGAGUUUCAAUCAAAUUCAUGGAAGCCAAAAUAAGAAAGUAAACAGGGCUUAUGAUGCUACUUUCGCGCUAGUUAAAGCUGCAAAGGAGUCAUGUAUAAGUAGCUUUAACGAAUGCUGUAAUACUAAUACUAACAUUAAUACUUCAAUUGAUAUGGAUUAUAUUGCAAUCUCCAA